GAUGAACGCUGGCGGCGUGCCUAAUACAUGCAAGUCGAGCGAAUGGAUUAAGAGCUUGCUCUUAUGAAGUUAGCGGCGGACGGGUGAGUAACACGUGGGUAACCUGCCCAUAAGACUGGGAUAACUCCGGGAAACCGGGGCUAAUACCGGAUAACAUUUUGAACCGCAUGGUUCGAAAUUGAAGGGCGGCUUCGGCUGUCACUGAUGGAUGGACCCGCGUCGCAUUAGCUAGUUGGUGGGGUAACGGCGCACCAAGGCAACGAUGCGUAGCCGACCUGAGAGGGUGAUCGGCCACACUGGGACUGAGACACGGCCCAGACUCCUACGGGAGGCAGCAGUAGGGAAUCUUCCGCAAUGGACGAAAGUCUGACGGAGCAACGCCGCGUGAGUGAUGAAGGCUUUCGGGUCGUAAAACUCUGUUGUUAGGGAAGAACAAGUGCUAGUUGAAUAAGCUGGCACCUUGACGGUACCUAACCAGAAAGCCACGGCUAACUACGUGCCAGCCGCCGGGUAA
rnacentral:rRNA from 1 species